CCAAACUGUCUCUCAUUCUAUAUCACAGUAGAAUCAUGCUGGAUCCUGGUGGGAAUAUCCACCACCGUCCCACUCUCAACAAGGACUGGGCAUAUGACUAAACUAACUGGACCAGGCGGACACUCUACUUCUCUGCUAGGAAUCGGAAUCUUGAGCAGAAUGAUGCUGGGUGGAAUGAAGUACUGUGAAUUAUGCUGCUCUAAACAUUUGAGUACAUUUUUGUGUGGAAGGUGGGAUUCAAGGAAGAAGGCUG
rnacentral:lncRNA from 1 species